CCUACGGGAGGCUGCAGUGGGGAAUAUUGGGCAAUGGGCGAAAGCCUGAUCCAGCCAUGCCGCGUGUGUGAAGAAGGCCUUCGGGUUGUAAAGCACUUUCAGUGGGGAAGAAAGCCUUGGGGCUAAUACCCUCGAGGAAGGACAUCACCCACAGAAGAAGCACCGGCUAACUCCGUGCCAGCAGCCGCGGUAAUACGGAGGGUGCGAGCGUUAAUCGGAAUUACUGGGCGUAAAGCGCGCGUAGGCGGUCUGAUAAGCCGGUUGUGAAAGCCCCGGGCUCAACCUGGGAACGGCAUCCGGAACUGUCAGGCUAGAGUGCAGGCGAGGAAGGUAGAAUUCCCGGUGUAGCGGUGAAAUGCGUAGAGAUCGGGAGGAAUACCAGUGGCGAAGGCGGCCUUCUGGACUGACACUGACGCUGAGGUGCGAAAGCGUGGGUAGCAAACAGGAUUAGAUACCCUUGUAGUC
rnacentral:rRNA from 1 species